UCAAAUGGUGGUUUAGUGGUAGAAAGCUCGCCUGCCAAGCGGGCGACCCGGGUUCGAUUCCAAUUAGGCUAGUAUGAG